rnacentral:rRNA from 1 species
AUUGAACGCUGGCGGCAGGCCUAACACAUGCAAGUCGAACGAGUGGCGGACGGGUGAGUAAUGUCUGGGAAACUGCCCGAUGGAGGGGGAUAACUACUGGAAACGGUAGCUAAUACCGCAUACCAUCGGAUGUGCCCAGAGGGGAUUAGCUAGUAGGUGGGGUAACGGAGAACCUAGGCGACUAUCCCUAGCUGGUCUGAGAGGAUGACCAGCCACACUGGAACUGAGAAACGGUCCAGAAUCCUACGGGAGGCAGAAGUGGGGAAUAUUGCACAAGGGGCGAAAGCCGGAUGCAGCCAUGCCGCGGGUAUGAAGAAGGCCUGCGGGUUGUAAAGGACGUUCAGCGAGGAGGCGUUACUCGAAGAAGAAGCACCGGCUAACUCCGUGCCAGCAGCCGCGGUAAUAC